CAAAAUUUAGAUAAAUUGGCUGAAAACAUGUUUUCAACGGUUGCUGCCCAGCCGAGGCACAAAUCUCGAACCAAAGCUCCUUUAUUUUUCCCUCUUUGUAGUCUACUUUCUUCUUCUUCCAACGAUUGCUUAUCAAAUCUCAAAGUCAUCUCUUGUUGCUCCAGUGCUCCCUCAGAGCCAUCUAGCUUUGGGCACCCUUCCUUCACUCUCUCACUUCCAGUUCCCUUGCUUCUGGUGCUGGUUCGUUCGCUGAAGAUUGCCCCUUGCUUCUAGUUCUAGUUUACUCGUCGCCGGUUGUUCCUUCUCGCCCCUCUCACUUCCGGUUCUAGUUCGUUAGCCGACGAUCAUCCAUCACUUCCAGAUCUAGUUCCCUCGCCACCAAUCGUCCCUUUUAUCUACUGUUCGACACAAAGGCAUCGAACAUCAACAUCAUGGUUAGUUGCAUUGUGUGUGUUUUUCUCAAUAGCCAGAUCCAUGUAUGCUGAUGUUUUGUCCUUUUGAAUGUUGGGGAGAUAUCUUCAUGGAUGGUACCUAUUUUGAUAGAGCAGGGAGAGAAGAAAAGGUAUCAGAAAGGAGGUGAUGAAGGGAAAAGAUGAAUGGUGAACACUUUUUACUCCAGGGGUUGGAAAUAUACGGUGAUGGUAAGGCACUCUUUCCUUUGAAAGCUAGUAAAGAAAGUUGUCGAUUCAGAUGAAUGGCAUCUAGCAAUCGGUGAUGGUGACUUUUAAUGUUAGGUUUUUUGUUUAUUUUUCUAUGGCUAUCGUUGGGACUCCAGGGUUUUUUUUUUUUUUUUUGCGCAUUAACUUAAAAGAAACAUGGUAGAGGUUAGAGCCAAGAAUGGCAGAAGGAAGAGCUAUUGGAAGAAGAGGUUUCCUGGUUUCAAUAAAAAAUGGCCCCCCGAUUACAUGAUUGGCACAAGCUGCGUGUUGGUAUAUGAUUGUCAAUGGUGGCCCCUUUUUUUCCUUUUUUUUCUUUUAUUAAUUAAAAUGAUUAAUUUAAAAUUAGACAAGUCUCGAUAGAGUUGGACACAAGCUAGCUUAAAACAGGCCACUAAAGCCUAUUCCUAGAGCUUGUCGAGGGCCUAAAAAAAGUUGUUGGUGCCCCCCCACCCUUCUAUAUAUAGUUAUGUCAUUAUAUAUGUAUAGUUAUGAUGUUAUCAUGUUAGACAACGUGUGAAGGUUCCCCACCCCAUCCCUCUUUUGAGUAAAUUUUCUUUUUUCGGAGUUCA